CCUACGGGAGGCAGCAGUGGGGAAUAUUGCACAAUAGGCGCAAGCCUGAUGCAGCCAUGCCGCGUGUAUGAAGAAGGCCUUCGGGUUGUAAAGUAUUUUCAGCGGGGAGGAAGGGAGUAAAGUUAAUACCUUUGCUCAUUGACGUUACCCGCAGAAGAAGCACCGGCUAACUCCGUGCCAGCAGCCGCGGUAAU
rnacentral:rRNA from 1 species